rnacentral:rRNA from 1 species
CCUACGGGAGGCAGCAGUGGGGAAUAUUGGGCAAUGGAGGAAACUCUGACCCAGCGACGCCGCGUGCGGGAUGAAGGCCUUCGGGUUGUAAACCGCUUUCAGCAGGGAAUAAGCGCAAGUGAAGGUACCUGCAGAAGAAGCACCGGCUAACUAUGUGCCAGCAGCCGCGGUAAUACAUAGGGUGCAAGCGUUGUCCGGAAUUAUUGGGCGUAAAGAGCUCGUAGGUGGUUUGUUACGUCGGUUGUGAAAUUCAGGGGCUCAACCCCUGACUUGCAGCCGAUACGGGCAAGCUAGAGUUUGGUAGGGGAGACUGGAAUUCCUGGUGUAGCGGUGGAAUGCGCAGAUAUCAGGAGGAACACCGAUGGCGAAGGCAGGUCUCUGGGCCAAUACUGACACUGAGGAGCGAAAGCGUGGGGAGCGAACAGGAUUAGAUACCCUGGUAGUCCACGCCGUAAACGGUGGGCGCUAGUUGUGCGAACCUUCCACGGUUUGUGCGACGCAGCUAACGCAUUAAGCGCCCCGCCUGGGGAGUACGAUCGCAAGNUUAAACUCAAAGGAAUUGACGG